CGCAGUUGAGAGGAAAAGUGACCGGAGAGUGAAAUCCACCCGACCGUUCCUUCUUUCUAGAUUAUCCUCUGGUUCGCAUAUGGUCGGAUAAAAAUUUCAUCUCCAACAACUUUCUCUGUUUUGACUGGUUGAAGUCGAUGAUGAUGAUGCUCCUUUGCGUUCUUCCUCGAUUUUGUUGACAGGCAGAGAUGUUUUCAAGGUUGUUUAUUCGCUCGCCCAGUUUCUGAAUGCUUUCAUCGAUGGUUUGAGAUUUCGUCAUCAAACUCUAAAUUGGGUUCUUGCGAUGAAACUAUAGAAAUUGUACAUGGACCUGAUGUGAACCAAUUCUCGAAGCUUAAAUAAAUUUAAUUCCUCACUUGGUAA